ACGAACGCUGGCGGCGCGCCUAACACCUGCAAGUCGAACGAGCGAGAGGGAGCUUGCUUUCUCGAGCGAGUGGCGAACGGGUGAGUAACGCGUGAGGAACCUGCCUCAAAGAGGGGGACAACAGUUGGAAACGACUGCUAAUACCGCAUAAGCCCACGGUGCCGCAUGGCACAGAGGGAAAAGGAGCAAUCCGCUUUGAGAUGGCCUCGCGUCCGAUUAGCUAGUUGGUGAGGUAAUGGCCCACCAAGGCGACGAUCGGUAGCCGGACUGAGAGGUUGAACGGCCACAUUGGGACUGAGACACGGCCCAGACUCCUACGGGAGGCAGCAGUGGGGAAUAUUGCACAAUGGGGGAAACCCUGAUGCAGCGACGCCGCGUGGAGGAAGAAGGUCUUCGGAUUGUAAACUCCUGUUGUUGGGGAAGAUAAUGACGGUACCCAACAAGGAAGUGACGGCUAACUACGUG
rnacentral:rRNA from 1 species